GGGGACUUGUGGUUUAACUUAUCUAGUAGUGUAAACUGAUUAAAUUUGACUUGAUUGUAUAUAUUUAUUUUUUUAUCUUUUUAUCUUUUUAUUUUUUUUCUUUUAUAUAAAAAAAGUGCUACUAGGGUUUGUGUUUCUUGUGCAUGCAGCAGGAGCUCAGACAUACUAGGAGCAAGAAAAAUACGCAACCUCUUCUUGAAGGCUUAAGCGAGACAAGGGGAAGAAGGAGAGUCAGACGCCCAUCUAGGGAUUUGUUUCC
rnacentral:lncRNA from 1 species